rnacentral:lncRNA from 1 species
GACGCGGCCCCCACCCUUAACCCCUAGCCUCCAGGGAUCCCAGACAUCCUCCCGGCUCCCUAGAGCCCUCCCCUGUUCUCAGCCCCGUUAGACCCUCCCCUCAGAGCAGAACGCGUUUGCGCUCUAUGUCCCUCCGCAGCCCCUCCACCGUCCUCUCUGCCCCCAAAGGUACCUCCCCACCUCCACUUUAGUCUCACCCCUAAGUACCCCGAAGAAAGCCAAUAUUUCCUUCUCUCCGCAGCGUCCCAGAUAUUAACCGUUCUAUCUCAAUGGUUUUCAGAUUUUAUCUUGCCUCUUGGGUACCCUUUGGGACCCUUAUGUCAUCCCCACCAUCAGGGCACCCAGACUUAACCCUAACUGCAAGUCCCAGACUCACUCUGGUCCUUAUUGAUGAGCCAGGUGUCCCUGGAGUCAAGUGGCUCACUGUCACCGAUUUCAUUCCGAGCCACCACUCUGAAGUAGUACUUCCUGCCUGGGAGCAGCCCCGUCACUGUGUACUUGUUGCUGAAGACACGCUCGGCUGCCGUGUACCAGGUGGCUGUGCUUGCAUCCCGCUUCAUGAUGAUGUAGUGAGCCUCACCGUCCUCCUGCACAUCUGGGCUGUGGUUCCAGGCAUCUGCCAAGUCCGAUGGAAGAUAAGAUGGGGCAAGUCUCAGGCAGCUGGUGUCUUGGAGUCGGAAAACUAUUUCUGAAGUCUGCUCUGCCAUUUACUAGCCUCGUGACCUGGGGCCAUACAGACAUCUAGCUGCCCUGCAACCCUGUGAAGCAUUUAUUUGUUUUCUCAUCUGUCUCCUUCUACUAGUACGCAAGACCCUGGAAGGCAAGUCCUUGUGUCUUGUUUCUAUAACCCUAACACCUCCUUUUGAAAUUGCCAUUGCAACAAUUAUAACAGCGAGAAAAUUAUGACAGUGAACGAGAUCUGAUCUAACCAACCCCCAUCUUGCCUUUACCCUCCAAACUGCCCUUAAUCAUUCCUGGUUUCAGACCAUGAGGAAACUGAAGCUCAGAGGGAAAGCAGCUUGCCCAAGAUGGUGGGAGAGCUGAUAAUAAAGUGAUACUAAUCUACUGCAGAUGCUGAGUUCCAGGCACCACGCUCCACCACCUGGGCAGGUGGAUGAUUGACAUGGGUCUGC